rnacentral:rRNA from 1 species
AUUGAACGCUGGCGGCAUGCUUUACACAUGCAAGUCGAACGGUAACAGGCCUUCGGGUGCUGACGAGUGGCGCACGGGUGAGUAAUGCAUCGGAACGUACCCAGAGGUGGGGGAUAACGCAGCGAAAGCUGUGCUAAUACCGCAUGUGAUCUGAGGAUGAAAGCGGGGGACCGAGCAGCAAUGUUUGGCCUCGCGCCUUUGGAGCGGCCGAUGUCGGAUUAGCUAGUUGGUGGGGUAAAGGCCUACCAAGGCGACGAUCCGUAGCUGGUCUGAGAGGACGACCAGCCACACUGGGACUGAGACACGGCCAAGACUCCUACGGGAGGCAGCAGUGGGGAAUUUUGGACAAUGGGCGCAAGCCUGAUCCAGCAAUGCCGCGUGCGGGAAGAAGGCCUUCGGGUUGUAAACCGCUUUUGGCAGGAACGAAACGGUGUCCGCUAAUACCGGGCGCUAAUGACGGUACCUGCAGAAUAAGCACCGGCUAACUACGUG